UGUCUUCCACCUCAUUUGACUUAUUUUUGAGACAGGGCUUCUCACUGAACCCAUAGGCUGCUCAUCUAUGAGAGACUGGCUGUCAGUGAGCUCUGGGAACCUUCCUGCCUCCACACCCCUCAGCACUCAACGUCCAUGUAAAUGUUAGGGAUCCACACCUCUCCGUUCUUAUGAAGGACAUAAGGGCUUUGUGGUCUGUGUAUCAGGGUUCAAGAUGGGAAGAAUGGGAUGACCCCUAGAGCCAGGAUACUUCCAGACUUCGAACUUGCAUGCAGAUUGGACCCUGCAUGAAGCACUCUCACCUUGGUCCCCUGCUCCACCGAACUCUUUCAGAGACGGGGAACGCAAGCGCCUGCCCUUCUGCUGCAUGGCCUGGCCUGAGUCUGAUCUGAGAGAGGGAAGCCUGUUGCCCUGGGUCAUGGCUGAGGCCUCAAGAGUUCUGAAGCCCAUCCACACUGGUAAUGAGUCCGGACUGGGGAUCACAGAAAUUAGAGAUUGAGAAAGCUCUCAGACAAGCUUGGGGGCUGCCUGCCAGUCUCGGAGAUGGCCUCGCUCUGCAGAAUCACAGACGGACGGGAGAGGGUUCUAGUUUGUCCGGGCUUCUUUGACGGUGCAAGCUUGGGAGCCCAUAAAACUUUUGUUUUGCAACUCCUCCUCACAAACUGGAUGUCUUUACCUUUAGUGACAGGUAUUUUCUUUGUAUUUGGGGCUAAAGGUCAGCGGGAAUAAAACCUUAGCAUCCUAGGAAAUCUAUGACAAACAUAAUAAAAUAAUGAGAAGGUAGUCUCCAGUCCCCAUCAACCAAAACCCAGCUUCCAAACCUGUUUUUUUUUUUAGAUGAAAG